rnacentral:lncRNA from 1 species
UGAAAUCCUAUGCAGCCUCAUAUGGUAAUACAUCAUGAUAUUAUCUACCUAUUGUCUAAAUAAGGUCAUGAUAUCUUUUAAAACAUUUAGGGGGGGGGGGCAUGUUGAAAAAAAUCAAUAAAAGGGAGAUAACUUCUAAAGGGGAUGAUGAAAUCCUACAAAAGUUCAUCUGGUAAAAGGUCAUGAUGAGGUCUAUCGAUGGUUCAAAUUUGGUAUUGAUAACUCCAAUAGAAGCGGUAGGAGGUCAUGCCAAACAAAUGCUGGAAGGAAAAAAAAAAAAGAAAAAAAAAACAUUAGAAAAACAAUAAGGUCUUUCCUCGGGAAGAGGAAAGACCUU